GCUGGAGUUCCUCUGAUCAUGUUGCACUUAUUUGCAGAACUGCAGGUGUGAGAUUUAUUUAGAUGGAACAUAUAUGCAUGAGCAGCUAUGGAAAAUGUCAGCCUUCAUAGAAUAAGCUUAGAGACGUCUACAACGACAGAAGAAUCGAAGUCUCAAAAGGUGAGUCUGGAGGAAGAUAGAGAGAGGGAGAAAACCGUCUGGAUUUGAAUUGUGAGAUCUGGACCCAAGCCUUGUAAUGAUGGUCCUAUGUAACUAGCUGUUGUAUCCGGAGUGUGGGCUGCCUGGCCAAGGGAUUAGCACUGGCUGUGGGCUGAGGCCAAGAACAAACGACUGGGAAUCAGACUGGGUUGGAACUUCAUGAGAUCAGAAGUGAGAGACAAAUCGGAGGACAGGGA
rnacentral:lncRNA from 1 species